rnacentral:SRP_RNA from 1 species
GCCGGGCGUGGUGGCGCACGCCUGUAAUCCCAGCUACUCGGGAGGCUGAAGUGGGAGAAUUGCUUGAACCUGGGAGGCGGAAGUUCCAGUGAGCCGAGAUCACACCACUGCACUCCAGCCUGGGUGACAGAGUGAGACUCCAUCUCAU